rnacentral:lncRNA from 1 species
AACAAUGGCACUAUCCAUUCCACAAUCAAUUUAUGAAUAUAUAACUCGUGUAUUCCAUGUAUUUACAACAUAUUUCACAUUCUAUUUUCAGUAUACUAUCUCAUAUUCUUAUCCCAAAGUAGAUUUUAUGGAACACACCGAAUAUACGGAACAAAUAUAGAGGUGCAUUAUUAUGCACUAAUGAACAGAGAGCACUAAAGUGCUAAACAGAGAGCACAGAUGUGCUAAACAGAGAGCACUAACGUGCUAGUAAUCAGAGAGCACUAAUGUGCUAAUAAUCAGAGAGCGCGCUAAAGUUCC